rnacentral:rRNA from 1 species
GACGAACGCUGGCGGCGUGCUUAACACAUGCAAGUCGAGCGGUAAGGCCCUUUCGGGGGUACACGAGCGGCGAACGGGUGAGUAACACGUGGGUGACCUGCCCUCAGCUCUGGGAUAAGCCUGGGAAACUGGGUCUAAUACCGGAUAUGACUCCAUGACGCAUGUUGUGGGGUGGAAAGCCUUGUGCGGCUGAGGAUGGGGCCCGCGGCCUAUCAGCUUGUUGGGGGGUGA